rnacentral:rRNA from 1 species
UACGAAGGGGGCUAGCGUUGUUCGGAAUUACUGGGCGUAAAGCGCACGUAGGCGGAUACUUAAGUUAGGGGUGAAAUCCCGGGGCUCAACCCCGGAACUGCCUUUGAUACUGGGUAUCUGGAGUCCGAGAGAGGUGAGUGGAAUUCCGAGUGUAGAGGUGAAAUUCGUAGAUAUUCGCAAGAACACCAGUGGCGAAGGCGGCUCACUGGCCCGAUACUGACGCUGAGGCACGAAAGCGUGGGGAGCAAACAGG